ensembl:lncRNA
ACCUUCCUUCUCCAGAGACAACCACAUCAAGAAUCUGGAAUUAUGCUGAGGAUGAGUAGCAGGAUAGCGAGAUGAAAGGAAGAGAAAAGAUAACGAUAAUUAUAAUGCAACGCAAUAAGAGGUACAGUAGAGGCCAGAAAGGAAGUGCGUUUAAACAAGUGCAGAAUCCAUGUGAACACGGAGAAUGAGGUCAGCUUCGGAAGAUUCUCAGCAAAUCCUUUUGGCUCCACUGAAAGGAUCAGGGAUAGAACCCUAUCACAUCUUACCAGCUGUGUUGCUUCCAGACUCAUCCAAGUCACCAUCAUCUACCGCAGGUUUUGUUGUUGUUUGGUCGUUAAGUUGUGUCUGACUCUUUGUGACACAUGGACUGCGGCAGAGCCUUCAGUCUGUUCUCAGCCGAGUGAAGUGGAUGAUCGAUCUGUGUAUAUGCUAAGACAGGUCAUGUUGAGACAGCUCAGACCACCCCAGUGACUCUCAUUUCACUGGGUAAACGAUGAAGUCCUCGUGUGGCUGCCCAAGACCCUGAGUGCUCUGACGCUCUCCCCCAUCUCUCCUCCCCACCUUGACUUCCCCCCUGUCCACUCC